GCAAAGCGAGCCGAAGAAGUUAAGGCAGCAAGAACAGAACUGCAACUGUCGGGACAAGUCUGCAAAGAUUCGAGCUACAAACGCUGACGGAGGAGAAGAGAACUGGUGCAUAUCAAGACUUUCUUUAAAACAGGUCUGUUUCGCUGAACCACACAGAUUUACUCAAGAGGAGAGUGCAGACAUUAGUAAUACAGAGCCAUACAGAAUAAAAAAUAAAGAUACCGCAGACAAAAGAGAUAUAAUGGAAGAAGAAACAUCAACAUCAGAAAAAUCUUUUCAUCGCUUGCAGACAACAAAUAUUUUCUUUUCUUUUACUUGCUCUCAGUGUGGAAAUGGAUUUGGAAGUAAAGAGCAGCUUGAGAUGCACAUAAGAAUCCACACUGGAGAAAAGCCUUUCACCUGCACUCGGUGUGAAAAAAGCUUCAAAAGCAAAAAAACACUUAAUUUUCACAUGAAAAGUCACACUGGAGAGCGCCCGUUCGCAUGUCCACAGUGUGAAAAGAGAUUUUGGCAAAAGUACACUCUUGAAAAUCACAUAAGAAUUCACACAGGAGAACGGCCUUACACAUGUCCUCUGUGUAGAAGGAGUUUUAUGAACAAACGUGCACAUUCAGAUCACAUGAGAGUUCACACUGGAGUGCGCCCGUACACAUGUCUGCAGUGUGGAAAGAGUUUUACACAAAAAAAUAGUCUUAAUAAGCAUGGGGUACUUCACUCUAGAAAUCGUCCAUAUAUUUGUCCUCAGUGUGGAAAGAGUUUUUCAAAGAAAGAAAAACUUGCAGACCACAUUAGAAUGCACAUUUGAGAACGCCUGUCCACAAAGAGUUUCAGACGAAAAAAUGUAGAAGAACACAUGAGAACUGUAGAACAUCCACACACCUGUUCUCAGUGUGGAAAGAGAUAAGGAAGACUUAACCAUACGUGUUAACUGUGGAAAGAGUUUCGCAAGCAAAAAUCUUGAUAUCCACAUGAGACUUCCCACAGAAGAGCUCGUAACAGUGUCUACAGAGUGUAGAAAGUGUUUCACAGUGGCUCUGUUCACACUGUCAGUGUUCAGGAUUGUCUUUACAUAUGCGAGUCUUUAAAUGUUCUGUUCUCACAGCUGAAAUACUGCCCGAAGGCUGAAGUCUUUAUUGUGUUCCCAUGCGACUCAUGUAACCACAGUGUUGGACUUUAAUAUGACUGGUAUUCUUUUAAGUGUUUAAUUCAUACACUGACAAGGAUUAUAAAACCGUUUUUCACCGUAUUUUCUUUCAAAAUUAUUUUGGUGGGUCAUGUGCUCAGAAUCUAAAUCAGGCCCCUUAAUUAUUGAUGUGGCUACAGUACCUAUGGACAAUCUUUUUUCUAAUUAAAAUUGCAUCAAAUGUCAAUUGAAAGAUAUAGAUAAAAAACAUGUAUUUAAAAAAUGAUAAUUUGAAACAAUAAUAAAUAUAUGAAUAUAAAUGUAACCUACAUUUAAAGGGUGACUUAGUGUAAACACUGCAUCUCUGUGCAUAUAAGUGAAUCUUAUUUGUUUACAUUUUAGCUGCUUUUUUCUAUUUAACUCCGAGCAACUGCUUUGGAGCCUGUAAAUUGAAAAUUAGGGAAAUUACUUUUUCCAUGCAUUGAUUAGACUAACACUAUCUCAAAGAAGUGUUGGAGAACAUGACCAUAAUUGUUCUUCAUUAUCAACAAAAUUGUUAAAAGAACCACUUCACUCAUCCUCUGAUUGUUUUACCACAGUCAAAACCAAAAAACACAGGUGGGCCGAGUUCACAUUUUAGUUCUUUUUUUUGAAGCUGUUGCGUGUGUUUUACAUUAUAAUCCCAUGGAGUAAACCAUGUUAUCAAAAAAAGUGCUGAGCGUUUUUUUAAACACCAGCGCCGGUGUCUUAUCAACAUCUGACUCCCCGUAAGAUUAUGACUCCCCUGUGUCACCAACGAGGGUUUAGGUGUAGGAGUCGGGCUUUGGAUGUAGGGACCAAUCACAAAGCAGAAUCCUACGUACACCGGUUUCUUUUUCUGCAGCUCAGAGCGUCUUUUGAGUUUGAAAAGUUACUUUUCUGGAAAAAGAAACCUAGGUCAAGCACCUUUUUCUACAGCUAAUAAACCAUGAUUGACAGCUUUAUUUACUGAAAUGUUGUAUUAAACGGUAGCUCACAGGUGAAAUACUGUAUUCUGUUCCCAUGUGACUCCACGAUGACAUUUUCUAUUUGACUGCUAUUCAUUUUUUGCUGAUAUCAUUGUUUGUGUGAAUGUUUUCUGUAUCGACCAUCACUGUGUGAUGCUGCUGUCAUUCACACUGAGGGUCGACUGUAGAUAGAAAGCUCAACGAUCGGACGUCAGUUUGAUUUCUAUAUCAGUGAAAAAUAAAUUUCAAUGCACAUUAUAAAUACUUUAAUUAUUUAAAAACUUCUAAGCUAAUUCAAAGAAUUGAAUAGGUUAAAGUAGUUUUGGUGUGUAGUACGUAAUCUGCUGCUCACACUCAGUCCAGUAGAUGGCGGUAAUGCGCCUGUAAGAUGGUUUGGCAACCUCUAAUAAAAACAAAAGAAGCGAAGAUACACAGAAACGGACAGAAUGGCAACGAAGGAGAAACCAAAGUGGAGUAAAAGAACGCAAUGUUCGGCAAUUAACUGCAAAAAUUAUCAGUGUGACAGUACAGAUGUUGCUUUUCACCGUUUUCCUAAAGACCCUGAUAGGUCUUCCAAGUGGGUUCAGAAUCUCAGGAAUGCAUCUUUGUUGGACAUAAGCCCUGAGCGGCUCAAUCAAAACUAUAGGGUGUGCAGUGCACAUUUUCACACUAGCCAGUUUAAGAGACCAUCUGAUGUCCAUGCGGGAUUGAAAUGGAAUGCAGUGCCCACAUUGGUUAAUGUCUCUAAGCCAUCACCCCCAGUUGACUUGCAGUUAAAGAGAAAGCAACAGAAGACCUGUCCGGAGUUACCACCAAAGAAACGUAAGAAAAAUACAGGGAUACCUUGAGGUACAAAAAUUGUUUACCUGUCAAAUCCAGGCUCAUCCACUGCAGACAGUGUUCAACAAACCAUCGAUUCAGAGACAGACAGUAAACCACCUGAUGCUUCUGCGGCAGGACCUUCGAUUCCACGGACACCACCAACAUACCUUGACGCUGCGACUGCCAAGGAACAUGUCAUGAAGAUGAAGAUUAGGUGUCUGAAGGUACAGGUAUGCAAGUUGAAGGCGAAAUUGAGGGAAGUGAACCGGCUGAAGAACACAAGGAAGGCCUGUGUUAAUAAACUGUCAGUGAUGAAGCAGUUGAAAAAACUCUUACCAGCCAAAACAUACGCUUUUGUGAGUGAACAGAUACAUAUGUCACAGCGGAAGACUCCUGGUUUUCGGUAGACCAAUAAGGACAAAGCUUUCUGGUCUCUGGUACAUGCCAGUCCAGAGUGUUACAGACUACUGUUGAGCGUGUUUUCUAUGCCGUCUGUCCGCACACUGCUGGAGCUCAAUAAAUCUUAAUCAUUGUAUUUAUUUAAGUUUUAGUUUACUGUAUUGAAUCUUUCCAUUUUAUUCAGCUUAACACAAUUACCAUUACUUUUAUUAGUAACUAUUGUGUAUAUGAAAUAUAUAUUGAAUUUUUGAAACUCUGGAAAACACUACGGUCAUGAUGAUCUUAUAGAUGCAUUGCUAUGUUUGUCCAAAACACAAUGUUGUUGUUUUUUUCAACAUUCCCAAUUUUUCUGAUGCAUGUCCUUAAUUAAAUUUCACAUGUUGGUAUUUUUUCAGUGUUUAUAAUACUUGUAGAAUGUCAACCAAACUGACAUGGUUUCUAGAGAGCACUUAAACGCAAAGUCAGUAAAAUAAACUGUGAAAAGAUUUGAUGAUGGUUAUUAAAAAAGUUUGAGCCGCUGAAGCAGUUUCUGGAGGAGAGGCUGUGUACAAUACCACCGA